UUUUUUUAUAAAUCUGACUUUUUACCUGCCUACAGGGGGGGAUUCAAAAUGACAACUUUUUCACAAAAAAUUGACUUUUUCAACUUAAAUUUUGAAAGUGUUCCGGAAAGUCUGACACUUUUAUAUAUAUCUUAAAUUAAAGCUAAUGUAAUAUACUUUAUUAUGAAAAAAAAAAAUUUCGGACUUUAUCUUAUCUUCAUGGUGAAAAUGGCUACCGAAUGCUAUUUUUGUGUGAAAAUUUUCGAUUUUGUAUUUUCCAUUUUUAACUUUAUUAUG